UAUGACUCCUAAGUUCAUAUAAACGGAAGAAAUCAGAAUUUAACUUGCAUAUAUUCAAUGAUACAGCGUGGUUGUGUGGAUUGAGCACUUUUUGAGCUUUCAUUUUGACCUGUGUGAUUAUGUAAAACCACAUGGUGCGUUGUGUUCACUGCUGUUCGCUGACGCCAUUUUGGUUGCACGUGCCUGUGAAAGACAAAAAGAGAGAGAAACACGUGAAUGGACAGGUAUUUGUCUAAAUUGUCAUUUAUUAUGAUGAUGGCACUUAUGUAUGUAUUUUAUUUGUUUCCUGUAUUGUGUACAAUUGUUCAUCAUUAUUGAUACACAAUAUUGAAUGUUUUUUCCUUUCGUAUGAACAUUCCUUGAGCUGGAUUUUCCUAAUUGAUGGCGAGCCUCCCAUUUCGACCUGAUUGGAUCACGAAUCUAGAGGAAAGGACAAAUUUCUAUUUUAAAUAUUUUUCUUCAGACAAGUAAGAGGAUACAUUUCAGAAACUGUUUCCUUAUUUUGUUUGUUUACUUCAUUGAACUGAAACAUUUCAGAAGCACAAAUCUGAUAAUUUAAGACUGAUCAAUACUCCAAUUGAUAAGAACUUUGAACUUGAAUACGGAUUUCAGUGUGUUACAUAUAUAAUUUGUACCAUCUUUGUACAUUGAUUGUGACUGUGAUUUCUGUAAAUGAGAAGUAAUUUAGAGGGUGCACCCAUAGUAUAUAUCCCCCUUCUUCAAAUCUUACCCUGGAGGUCCGGAGCACUACAGAGUUUAGCUCCAACCCUGAUCAAACACACCUGAGCAAGCUAAUCAAGGUCUUCAUGAUCACUAGGAAAUCACAGGUGGGUAAGUUUGAUUAGGGUUGGAGCUAAACUCUGUAGUGCUCUGGACCUCCAGGGUAAGAUUUGAGGAACCCUGGUAUAUAUAGUUAAUUGUAUUUUCAUUGUUGUUUACUAUUUUUUUGUGAUUAAGGAAAGAAAAAGAAAGGUUUCUCAAUACUCAAAGUAAAAUAAUUUAUUAAUCAACUUA